rnacentral:rRNA from 1 species
UACGUAGGUGGCAAGCGUUAUCCGGAUUCACUGGGUUUAAAGGGUGCGUAGGUGGGCAGGUAAGUCAGUGGUGAAAUCUCCGGGCUUAAUUCGGAAACUGCCAUUGAUACUAUCUGUCUUGAAUACCGUGGAGGUUAGCGGAAUAUGUCAUGUAGCGGUGAAAUGCUUAGAUAUGACAUAGAACACCAAUUGCGAAGGCAGCUGGCUACACGAAUAUUGACACUGAUGCACGAAAGCGUGGGGAUCAAACAGG